rnacentral:rRNA from 1 species
CCUACGGGAGGCAGCAGUGGGGGAUAUUGCACAAUGGAGGAAACUCUGAUGCAGCGACGCCGCGUGAGUGAAGAAGUAUUUCGGUAUGUAAAGCUCUAUCAGCAGGGAAGAAAAUGACGGUACCUGACUAAGAAGCCCCGGCUAACUACGUGCCAGCAGCCGCGGUAAUACGUAGGGGGCAAGCGUUAUCCGGAUUUACUGGGUGUAAAGGGAGCGUAGACGGCGACGCAAGUCUGAAGUGAAAUACCCGGGCUCAACCUGGGAACUGCUUUGGAAACUGUGUUGCUAGAGUGCUGGAGAGGUAAGCGGAAUUCCUAGUGUAGCGGUGAAAUGCGUAGAUAUUAGGAAGAACACCAGUGGCGAAGGCGGCUUACUGGACAGUAACUGACGUUGAGGCUCGAAAGCGUGGGGAGCAAACAGGAUU